UUGAGUGAACAAACUUCAACAAGCCUUAACCAAACUCCUUCAUCUGUUAUCCCCAAGCAUUCUGAUGAUUCGCAACCAAGAAGAGCAAUGCCAGCAACACUUUUUGUUAAUAUUUCCAAAGAAGAAUCCUCAAAGAUUGUUGAAGUAAGAGCCGAAGAUGGUGCUUCAAUAUUAGAGACCCCACAUCCAAGUUCCUUAACUUCUAAAAAGG